CACGAUUCGUGCUCUUUGGGUAUAAUUCACAGUCUAAAAUUCCUGCCACAAAGUCAUUUUAUUCAUUAAAAAAAUCAACGGUUUUCUAAAUCACAGAAGUUUGUGUCAUGCCGCGAUUUGCCAUCUUGGACACAGCGUAUUACUUGUAACCCGAUCAUUUCAUGCCCUUCUUGAAAUCAAUCUCUAUUCUCGGUAAACGAUUUUGUCAUCAUAGAGCUGCAGAAUCUUUUUUAAUUACUCGAAGUAAUACGAAGACCAAAAUUUGAAACAGGAACUUUGGAAGGAAACAAAAUAUUUGACGGUUACCAGAAACGGAGAUGAACAAAUCCGGAAAUCGUAAAUUUUUCAAAAUAAAAAAAAUCGUGGCGGG
rnacentral:lncRNA from 1 species